CCUACGGGAGGCUGCAGUGGGGAAUAUUGGGCAAUGGACGCAAGUCUGACCCAGCAAUGCCGCGUGAAGGAAGAAGGCUUUCGGAUUGUAAAGUUCUUUUCUUAGGGACGAAAAAACUGACGGUACCCAAGGAAUAAGCCUCGGCUAACUACGUGCCAGCAGCCGCGGUAAUACGUAGGCGGCAAGCGUUCUCCGGAUUUACUGGGUGUAAAGGGUGGGUAGGCGGGAAGGCAAGUAAGAGGUGAAAACCCUGGGCUUAACUUGGGUGCUGCCUCUGAAACUGUUGUACUUGAGUGCAGUAGAGGAAGGUGGAAUGCCUAGUGUAGCGGUGAAAUGCGUAGAGAUUAGGAGGAACACCAGUGGCGAAGGCGGCUUACUGGACUGCAACUGACGCUGAGGCACGAAAGCGUGGGGAGCAAACAGGAUUAGAUACCCGAGUAGUC
rnacentral:rRNA from 1 species